rnacentral:rRNA from 1 species
AUUGAACGCUGGCGGCAGGCCUAACACAUGCAAGUCGAACGGUAACAGGAAGCAGCUUGCUGCUUCGCUGACGAGUGGCGGACGGGUGAGUAAUGUCUGGGAAACUGCCUGAUGGAGGGGGAUAACUACUGGAAACGGUAGCUAAUAUCGCAUAACGUCGCAAGACCAAAGAGGGGGACCUUAGGGCCUCUUGCCAUCGGAUGUGCCCAGAUGGGAUUAGCUAGUAGGUGGGGUAACGGCUCACCUAGGCGACGAUCCCUAGCUGGUCUGAGAGGAUGACCAGCCACACUGGAACUGAGACACGGUCCAGACUCCUACGGGAGGCAGCAGUGGGGAAUAUUGCACAAUGGGCGCAAGCCUGAUGCAGCCACGCCGCGUGUAUGAAGAAGGCCUUCGGGUUGUAAAGUACUUUCAGCGGGGAGGAAGGGAGUAAAGUUAAUACCUUUGCUCAUUGACGUUACCCGCAGAAGAAGCACCGGCUAACUCCGUG